GUAGGUGAACCUGCGGAAGGAUCAUUACUGAAGAAACAAGGGUUUUGAGACUGCGUCCUUCAAUUGGGCGUGUGCUCGACUCUUACUCUUUCAUAUCCCAUACACACCUUUGUGCACCAAGGGACCCUUGUGUCCCCUUUUUUUCAUAAAUACCGAGUUAUAUGCAUGUAUAGUUUGUAUACUCUACGGAGUUAUUAUAAAUACAACUUUCAACAACGGAUCUCUUGGCUUUC
rnacentral:misc_RNA from 1 species